UCGGCCUACCAGGAUUCCACCAAUCCCUCCAGCACUCAGAGCCCUGACAGACCUCCUCCCAGUGUCUGUCUAUGGCAGUGUUUCUCAACCUGUGCGCCGCGGGGAUCACAUAGGUGCGCCGCGAGUACUCGGACACGUCCUGUACCCAUCCAUCAGAGCUGCAGUCAGCUGGCAUUCCUGAGUUGCCAUAUCACUUGUCUUAUUUUACUUAUUUACACGUUCAUGUGAAAAAUUUUAGAUGUGUGUACAAACUGAGCAUAUGCAUACCAGUUGGUUGUAUACAAGAUGGAAUAUAUGAUGUGAUUUGCAUGAACCUUUAGUAACAAUUAAUAUGGCAACAUAUAACGAGAACAUUGGGUAGGCAGCUCCAGGGCCAGGACCAAGGGGUCUCAGUGCUACAGUUGACUCCCCGUAACGCGUAGUGCCGUACUGCAUUCGUUGCUCAACGAGGCUUAAAAAUGGAGAAAUACCUCAUAAAAAAGCGUAAAUGUGCUGAAGAAAAAGAAGAAGUUGCAGAGGACAUUAUUAAGUCAAAGCGUACAUGUGUCGAAGGCACUGAUGGUGACGUAACAGUAAAACCUGGUGAAAGUGAGACGUCUCGUCCAGGCCAUAUCGUGGAAAGUGAAGAAAAUGAAGUGAGAGUUGAAAAAUCCUAUUUUCUUCCAGCUUGCUGUUCUGUAGUGAAAACUUUGUUUGGGGAUGAGGCUGAAAAAGAAGUGAAAAAAAUUCCUCUCUCAAACGAUACGAUUGGCAGACGAAUCUAGGAUAUGUCAUCUGACAUUGAGAAAAGUGUGUGUGAACUGGUGAAAGAUAAAAUGUUUGCCUUACAAGCAGACGAAUCAACAGAUAUUGGAGGGAAACCUCAGUUACUUGUGUUCAUCCGUUUCAUUGAUGAUAAGAAAAUAACCGAGCAAUUCUUGUGCUGCAAAGAACUAAGUCAAACAACAGGACAGGAAAUAUUUUCUACAGUGACAGAAUAUUUGGUAGAAAUGGACUUAACAUGGAAAUUAUGUGUAGGAAUUUGCACAGAUGGUUGUCCAUCAAUGGUGGGGUCAGUAAAGGGUUUUGUGUCUUUAGUGAAGAAGGAAAAUCCAUUUCUGAUUACCACACAUUGUUUCUUGCACCGUGAAGCUCUUGUUGCUAAAACACUUGGACAAGAUUUAAAAUUUGUUCUUGAUAAUGUCGUGAAAAUGGUGAACUUUAUUAAAAGUAGACCAAAGCAGUCAAGAUUAUUUUCCAGUCUUUGUGAAGAAAUGGGAUCUGCCCACGAAGGUCUUCUCCUCCACACGGAAGUUCGGUGGUUGUCAAGAGGCAGAGUGUUAUCCCGUGUGCAUGAACUAAGAGAGGAAAUUCUUCUUUUCUUUGCUCUUGAAGAGAAAACAGAAUUCUGCGAAUUACUGGCUGACGAAAUUUGGAAUGCAAAAUUAUGUUAUUUGGCAGAUAUAUUUGA